rnacentral:rRNA from 1 species
UACGGGGGGGGCAAGCGUUUGUUCGGAAUUACUGGGCGUAAAGCGCACGUAGGCGGAUUGUUAAGUUAGGGGUGAAAUCCCAGGGCUCAACCCUGGAACUGCCUUUAAUACUGGCAAUCUCGAGUCCGAGAGAGGUGAGUGGAAUUCCGAGUGUAGAGGUGAAAAUUCGUAGAUAUUCGGAGGAACACCAGUGGCGAAGGCGGCUCACUGGCUCGGUACUGACGCUGAGGUGCGAAAGCG